AUUGAACGCUGGCGGCAGGCCUAACACAUGCAAGUCGAACGAGUGGCGGACGGGUGAGUAAUUUCUGGGAAACUGCCUGAUGGAGGGGGAUAACGAAUGGAAACGGUAGCUAAUACCGCAUACCAUCAGAUGUGCCCAGAUGGGAUGGGCUUGUUGUGGGGGUAACGGCUCACAAAGGCGACGAUCCCUAGCUGGUCUGAGGGGCUGACCAGCCACACUGGAACUGAGACACGGUCCAGAGUCCUACGGGAGGCAGCAGUGGGGAAUAUUGCACAAUGGGCGCAAGCCUGAUGCAGCCACGCCGCGUGUAUGAAGAAGGCCUUCGGGUUGUAAAGUACUUUCAGCGGGGAGGCGUUACCCGCAGAAGAAGCACCGGCUAACUCCGUGCCAGCAGCCGCGGUAAUUC
rnacentral:rRNA from 1 species